UACGAGGGGUCCUAGCGUUGUUCGGAAUCACUGGGCGUAAAGCGUAUGUAGGCGGACUUCUAAGUCAGGUGUGAAAUCCCAUGGCUCAACCAUGGAAUUGCAUUUGAAACUGGAAGUCUUGAGUGUGGGAGAGAUUGGUAGAAUACCUAGUGUAGUGGUGAAAUACGUAGAUAUUAGGUGGAAUACCGGUGGCGAAGGCGGCCAAUUGGCCCAACACUGACGCUGAGGCGCGAAAGCGUGGGGAGCAAACAGG
rnacentral:rRNA from 1 species